rnacentral:rRNA from 1 species
AACGAACGCUGGCGGCGUGGAUAAGACAUGCAAGUCGAACGCUGACUUCAGGGUAGCAAUAUUCUGGAGUCGGAGUGGCGCAAGGGUGCGUAACACGUGGGUAAUUUGCCGCGAAGUCUGGGAUAACUUGCUGAAAGGCGAGCUAAUACCGGAUGGGGUUGGGUGGUGGCAUCAUCGGCCAACCAAAGUUGGGGACCCGCAAGGGCCUGACGCUUCGCGAUAAGCCCGCGGCCAUCAGCUAGUUGGUGAGGUAACGGCUCACCAAGGCUAAGACGGGUAGCUGGUCUGAGAGGACGACCAGCCACACUGGAACUGAGAGACGGUCCAGACACCUACGGGUGGCAGCAGUCGAGAAUUUUUCACAAUGGGCGCAAGCCUGAUGGAGCGACGCCGCGUGGGGGAUGAAGGGCUUCGGCUCGUAAACCCCUGUCAUUUGCGAACAAACCCUC